rnacentral:rRNA from 1 species
GAUGAACGCUAGCUACAGGCUUAACACAUGCAAGUCGUGGGGCAUCAUGAUGUAGUAAUACAUUGAUGGCGACCGGCGCACGGGUGAGUAACGCGUAUCCAACCUACCCUCCACUCAAGUAUAGGCUUCCGAAAGGGAGAUUAAUCCUUGAUAUCGUCAUUCUCUCUCCUGUUAGAAUGAUAAAAGGACAUCGUUUCGGUAGAGGAUGGGGAUGCGUUCCAUUAGGUAGUAGGUGGUUUAACAGGCCACCUAGCCGAUGAUGGAUAGGGGUUCUGAGAGGAAUAUCCCCCACACUGGUACUGAGAUACGGACCAGACUCCUACGGGAGGCAGCAGUGAGGAAUAUUGGUCAAUGGGCGCAAGCCUGAACCAGCCAUGUAGCGUGAAGGAUGACGGUUUUUUUGAUUGUAAACUUCUUUUCUGUGCGAUUAAAGUGUGGCAUUUAUGCCAUAUGGCAGUAU